AUGUAAGGACAUAUAAAAGUGUAAUGUAGGUGCUUUGACUUGUGCCUAAAUAUCGUUACUUAUCAAUGUCUUAAUCAUGUUGAAGUAUGCAAAAAGAUUUUGCAGCAUCGCUAUGUUUACAGCAACAACAACAACAACAACAACAUCUGUUUACAGUGAUACCAGCCAAGACCAAACAAUCUCAUUUUGUAAGAAUUUGUGCAAAUGUAUUUGAAAAUUGUAUUAAUUUUAUGCCUAAUUUUAUAAUUUAAUGAUGCAGAUGAACAAAAAAUUUAAAAAAAGUGCCACACCGAAAGCAAAUCAACUUAAAAACGAAACAAUCAAAGGAAGAAAAAAGAAAAAAAGUAACACCCUUCUGUUUUGGUCUGCUGUGACUAGUUAAGUGUAUUGACAGAUUGCAACCUUUUCAAUGCCUGAUAUUUGUCGCUGUUUGCCACUCUGUUGCCUCUUUUUCUACCUCUGUGCUUCACUUUUCUCAAUAUUUGCAUGUUGGUAAUGUGAAAUCCCAGUGCUUUAAUAAAUCAAACUCUCUCUUUGUUGAGAUCUCAAGCCUUUUUUUGCUUUCAAGGCGCUGCUGCUGUGUUAUUGCCCUUUAUACGUUUUGCCACGUUUCAUGUUAAGUUCAUGCUAUUUUUGUCUCAACCUAAAUUAUUCCAACAGUGGAGGAUCUGGAACGCAAUGAUGGCACAGCGGACAGACCAUACUUCAUGCCAGAGAGACUGCUGUCCAUCCUCAAGAAGUCCAAUGAGGGGGGGAAAACAGUGGACUAAGGAAAGAAGGAAAGAUUUAUGGACAAACAAAGAAGUGUAGGGACAGAAAAAUAGAAAUACUUGCCAUACUUGUACUGAUUUUAUAGCUCGGGCACCAGUGAGUAUUACCAGUCAUUACAGCCAAAAGUGUUACAUAUUUUUGUUACCGUUGUUUUUGCUUAUUACAUGGGUUUGUAUUUGUAUAUAUUAUGCUUUAUUAGACUAGGCACGACUGUCCUAAUAUAUUUUUCAGUUUCCUUUGAAUGUCUAUGUUACUGAACUACUUUAACUGCCAUUAGGCCUAUUCUCGUGAUGACAGUGUUAAUGAUAACCAUUUUUAUACCUGACAGCAUUUGAAUAUAAUGUAAUUUCAUUUUGAUAUGUUUCUGCAGUGUUUUUCUGUGCGUCCAUUUGACGUGGCCAUUGUUGUGUUACUACUUGUAUUGUUUGAGGUGAUAUGGGGAGAACUAAUAAAUAUUAAUUAGGUCAAGAACGUAAUGUCGUAUUAUUUUCCGGGGCGUAAAGGUACGUAACUUAAUAUUCAUGAGACGACGAUACCUUGUUCAGUUACUAGGCAACCAGUUGAAAACACAAACGAGGCCGCUGUGGGAGAGGCUAUAGUGGGGAAAGAAAUCCAUCUAUAAACACCAAUGUAAUAAAUGUUCAUAAAAAUGCUCGCCAUGUCUGUCUCAGAGGACAUCGAGCUCCCUACCCAUGAUGAAAUUUCGGAGCUCCAAAGAAAAAUUCAUCUUCUGAAUGGAGACUAUUCGAUAGCGCAUAUCGAAAACUCGCAGUCUGCCAAGAACAGAGAAAUUAUCUUGCAGCUGAGACUCGAGAAUGCAAAACUGCACAAGAAACAGCUUGAGGGAGAUGAACAAGUUAUCAAGGAUGUUUUUCAAGGUCAUGGGAUGG